rnacentral:rRNA from 1 species
GAUGAACGCUGGCGGCGUGCCUAAUACAUGCAAGUCGAGCGAACAGACGAGGAGCUUGCUCCUCUGACGUUAGCGGCGGACGGGUGAGUAACACGUGGAUAACCUACCUAUAAGACUGGGAUAACUUCGGGAAACCGGAGCUAAUACCGGAUAACAUGUUGAACCGCAUGGUUCAACAGUGAAAGACGGUUUUGCUGUCACUUAUAGAUGGAUCCGCGUCGCAUUAGCUAGUUGGUAAGGUAACGGCUUACCAAGGCAACGAUGCGUAGCCGACCUGAGAGGGUGAUCGGCCACACUGGAACUGAGACACGGUCCAGACUCCUACGGGAGGCAGCAGUAGGGAAUAUUCCGCAAUGGGCGAAAGCCUGACGGAGCAACGCCGCGUGAGUGAAGAAGGUCUUCGGAUCGUAAAACUCUGUUAUUAGGGAAGAACAAAUGUGUAAGUAACUAUGCACGUCUUGACGGUACCUAAUCAGAAAGACACGGCUAACUACGUG